ACCUGGCUGGCUCAGUCAGUAGAGCAUGUGACUCUUGAUCUCAGAGCUGUGAGUUCGAGCCCCACAGUGGGUG
rfam:Felis catus isolate Cinnamon breed Abyssinian chromosome A1, whole genome shotgun sequence.